rnacentral:rRNA from 1 species
AGUGAACGCUGGCGGUAGGCCUAACACAUGCAAGUCGAACGGCAGCACAGUAAGAUCUUGCUCUUACGGGUGGCGAGUGGCGGACGGGUGAGGAAUACAUCGGCAUCUACUUUUUCGUGGGGGAUAACGUAGGGAAACUUACGCUAAUACCGCAUACGACCUACGGGUGAAAGCAGGGGAUCUUCGGACCUUUCGCGAUUGAAUGAGCCGAUGUCGGAUUAGCUAGUUGGCGGGGUAAAGGCCCACCAAGGCGACGAUCCGUAGCUGGUCUGAGAGGAUGAUCAGCCACACUGGAACUGAGACACGGUCCAGACUCCUACGGGAGGCAGCAGUGGGGAAUAUUGGACAAUGGGCGCAAGCCUGAUCCAGCCAUACCGCGUGGGUGAAGAAGGCCUUCGGGUUGUAAAGCCCUUUUGUUGGGAAAGAAAAGCAGCAGGUUAAUACCCCGCUGUUCUGACGGUACCCAAAGAAUAAGCACCGGCUAACUUCGUG